rnacentral:sRNA from 1 species
ACUGGGUUAAUUACUUCAAAAAGAAACAUCCGAGCAUGUUGUUGAUUCCUCAUUUUGUGGGCAGCACCUGUGAAAGCAGCUACAUCAUGUCUGUGAUCCAUGACUUCAUCACGGAAUUACAGUACAGAAACUACGGUACUCAGCUUGAAACAGAUAUUCUUAACGAAGACUCAGAUGGCUUGGUCUUUUCACUUCUUGUGGAAGUAUUCAUUGCUUCCAUCAGUUUAAAGCCAUACAUACUUGUACUAGAUGGAAUUGAAGAACUGAUUGGCAUUUAUGGGAUUUCAGGUCAGAAGGUGAAAGAUUUUUCCUGGCUGCCACACUCACUCUCCCCUCAUUGCAAAUUUAUCAUGAGCACUGUCUCUUCCAGCCUGUCCUACAAGUCGUUGUGUGCCCGCCCGGAUGUGAGGACAGUGGAACUCAUUAGCACAGGAGAUGAAGAAACAAAAUUAAACAUCUUUAGAAAGCAUCUCUCCAUUCCCAUGAUGGACCCCUUCCAACAGAGCACACAGGCGUUGAGUAAAAAACCAGACCUGAGUCCUUUAAAACUCACAAUCCUAGCCAAUGAAUUGAAAGAAUGUAGAAUCAACCACAAUGAGUUUCAGUGUAUGAAGGAAUACUUGGAGGCUGUCUCUGUUCAGGAGCUCUGGGAAUUGGUUCUCAAACGCUGGAUUGAAGACUACAGUUGGAUGUUUCAAC